AGAUUUCUAAACUGAAAUGUGGAAUAAUGGAUCAAUCUUGGACAGGCAUGAGUCAAGUUACUACUUCUUUAUUGUUAACUACUGUAAUGUAAUUAUAACAGACUGGGCUUUUACUGCCAUCUAGUGGUCAACUGUGAUCCUGAGUCUUAAACAGGUCCUGACUGUGUGUGUGUGUAUAUAUAUAUAUAUCUCCUUCCAUAGGUACACCUCAAAGAACAACACGGUCUAUGCCAUACUACUGGAAUGGCCUUCCAAACUUCUGUUCGACCUCGCAGCACCCAAAACCUCUAAGGCCACUAAUGUCACUAUACUGGACGACCCGUCCGUACCUCUGAAGUGGGUAGCAACGGCACCGACCGGACUGGUGGUUCUCAUGCCUGACAUCAUGCCAGUUUCCCCGGGACAAGGCUGGGUCCUGAAACUAGAGGGAGUGGUGUGAGAGGCGGUGUACAUAAAAGCAGUUUUUAAUUAUUAUACAUUAAGAUAUUAUGACUGUGUUUAAUGUUUUUAAAAUUUAAGUUUCAGGGGUUUGAAAUGUGAUUUUUUUUUAGGACUCUGACACUGGUUGAAUUGUGUGAGUCAGCUGAAGCCUAUCUUGAAUGUGCAAUAGACAGCGGCUCUGCAGUAUCUCUAUCAACAAUGGCCUCCUUUUAAAAAAAAUUAAAGAUAAGAAAACCAAACA